UAUACGUUUCAUCUUCUUCUUUUACUACUUUAGUGUUUCGUCUUCUUCUUUCCUUCACCGCUUCAAUGGAUUCUAUGGAAAAAAAAUUCAAGAAGUGCAAAAGGAACGAUUGCUGAAUGAAAAUACUCAAAGCCAUAUUAUCUUCAUCAUAGCGACACAUCUAAUCUAUUCCUUGUAUCAGAAUUGCUCACAGAUGACAACUAUGUAACCUGGAGUAGAUCAAUACUUCUUGCUUUUUCAAUCUGCAGUAAGCUUGGAUUUAUUGACAGAACUUUGACUGAACACCGAAAAUCUGCUCUCUCUCUGGAUUAGGAACAAUCAUAUGGUAAUUGCUUGGAUCCUCAACUCGGUAUCGAAAGGUUUUUGGAUGCUUAUGUUAUGCUUCAAUUUUGCCUACACAACGAACUAAGUUCUCUCCAAGAGUUGUUCCAGCUGUUUUUAUCGGUUUCUUCUCAUUAUGAACCACAAUUUUACCACCAAGCCUUGCCUUAUGCUCAUUGGAAAGAAGUUAUGAAAUUAGAACUUGAAGCAAUGGAAAACAACAAUACUUGGACGGUUGUUCCUUUACGAAGUAAUAAACAUAGCAUUGGUUAUAAAUGGGUCUACAAAAUGAAACAUUGUACUAAUGGAUCCAUUGAGCGUUAUAAGGCAUGGUUAAUGGCAAAAGGAUAUACUCAACAGGAGGGACUAGAUUUUCUGUAAACUUUCUCGCCUGUGGCUAAACUUAUCACCGUUUGCGUUUGUUUUACAAUCUCUGUUUCCAAAAAUUGGCAUCUUGAUCAACCCGAUGUUAACAAUGCAUUUCUCUAUGGUGAAUUAUUUGAAGAAUUAUAUAUGGAUUUGCCUCUUGGAUAUACACCACAGUGUGUUUUGCUUAAGGGGGAGUGUUUGGUUUGUCGCUUAAACAAGUCUAUCCGUGGACUUAAGCAAGCCUCUUGUCAAUGGUUCAUGAAAUUUUCAGAUACUUUGAUUCUAUUGGUUUUGAACAAUCUAAAGCUGAUUAUUCACUUUUUGUGAGAUGACAUGGGACUGAUUUCACAGCUCUUUUGCUGUAUGUUGAUGAUAUCAACAUCACGGGCGCAAACAUAGAGCUUAUUAAUCGUUUGAAGCUCUUAUUAAAUAAUCGGUUUAAAUCGAAAAAAUUUGGGUGCACUCAAGUAUUUUCUUGAGCUUGAGUUAGCACGAUCUACUAAUUAUAUUGCUAUUUCUCAACUUCAUUAUACUUUACAACUUUUGGAAGAUGCAGGUUUAUUAGUAACUAAAAUUGAAAAUACGCCAAUGGAUCCAUUUUUGAAAUUACAAUCUUCUAUCGAAGAUUUGCUUACAGACCCUGCUGUUUAUAGGCAUUUAUUAUGCAAUUGCUUUAAUUAUUUCGCGACCAGAUAUAAUAUUUACUGUUAAUAAGCUUAGUCAGUUUGUUUCUAAACCUUGUAAAGCUCAUUUAGCUGCUGCACAUCAUUUAUUACGAUAUUUGAAGGCCGCACUAGGUCAAGGUAUUUUGUUUAAACCCAUAAAAAAUUUUCAGUGGAAAGCAUUUGUAGAUUCUGAUUGGUCCUCGUGCUUAGACACCGUCGUUGUACGACCGGUUAUUGUGUAUUCUUGGGUGAUUCUUUAAUUUCUUGGAAGUCUAAGAAACAAAGUAUAGUUUCAAGUUCAUCUGCUGAAGCAUAAUACAGAGCAUUGACAUUGACAUCUUGUGAAUUAGUAUGACUUUCCUCUCUGCUCACAUAUUUGAGAAUCAAGGUUCAAACUCCAGCUUUAUUGUUUUGUGACAAUCAAGCAACUAUCCAUAUAGUCACUAAUCCUAUUUUUCAUGAAUAGACAAAACACGUCGAGUUGAACUGCCAUUUUGUUCGAGAUCGUGUGGCUGAUGGCAUUCUUAAGCUAUUAUCGGUUCGAAGUUGGUUUCAAUUGGCCGAUAUGUUUAUGAAGCCAUUAGGUGCUAUUCAUUUGUACGGAUUGUUAUCUAAGUUGAAAAUUAUAGAUAUUUACAAUCCAAUUUGAGGG